rnacentral:rRNA from 1 species
AUGGAACCUCUCAGUGAAGAAAACUCAAGAAUGUUAUUGUUGAAUAGAGUAUUUGGGUUCGUACAUGGUUGUCCCCCCCAACUUGAAGAUGUCAUGACUGAAAUUUUGAAAAAGUGUCAUGGAUCGCCACUUGCAGUUAUCACAAUAGCUAGCCUAUUAGCAAGUGAAGAAAGAUCAUUGAAGGGCUGGGUGAGUAUAAGGGAUUAUUUGGGUGCCCAGUCUGCCACAAAUCCCACCUUGGAAGAGAUGAAGAGUAUAUUAAACCUUAGCUACAUGCAUCUUCCUGCUCAUUUUCGAGCAUGUUUUUUGUACCUUGGUAUGUAUGCUGAGGACUGUGAAAUCCUAAGGGAUGAUCUGAUUCGACAAUGGAUAGCUGAAGGCUUUAUCAUUAGUUUGCAUGUGCAAGAUCUGGAGGAUGUUGGCAGGAGUUAUUUCAAUGAGCUUGUCAAUAGAAGCAUGAUCCAGCCUUAUAAAAAUGUGGAUGGGAAGGUGUGUUGCAAAGUACACGACAUGAUGCUUGAUUUGAUCCUAAGCAAGUGUGUUGAAGAUAACUUUAUAAGUGUUGCAUACAAUUAUGAAGGCAUGGCAAGAUUGCAUAGCAGGAAACACAAGGUCCGUCGACUAUGUAUGACAUCCAUUGUUGGUGAUGGAGCAACAUAUGGCCCAACUAUUGUUGCUAGCUUAUCACAAGUUCGUUCAUUUACAAUGUUGGGGAACUCCAUGCCUCCUCUGGUGUUGUUUAAGUAUCUCCGGGUGCUCAAGAUUGAUCAAGGCAGGGCCAGGGGAGACGAGGAGACACGUGACCUGACCGCUAUUAGCCAAUUGUUUCAGCUAAGGUAUUUUCAGGUUUUGGGGCCAUAUCCUAUAAAGCUCCCUUCUGAACUUCAAGGGCUUGUUUACUUGGAGACGCUGGACAUACCUGAUGCAUGUCCCAAGACCAUCCCCUCAGAUAUUGUCCAUUUGUCCCGCUUGUCCUAUCUCAAUGUAUGGAUGGAAGAAGGGCUGCCUGAAUUGAUUGGAAAUAUGAAAGCACUGCGCAGUUUGAGAAUAUCGAAUAGCUGGGUGAUCCAUCAUAGCAUGCAGGGUAUUAUGGGUCUCGGUGAGCUGACCAAUCUUCGGGAACUGAUGAUCGAGGUGGGGCCUUUGGAGAAGCCAGAACUUGAUGCUUUGGUCUGGUCCAUUGGAAGGCUCUGUAACCUCAAACACCUUCAAAUCUUAGGGUUAUGUUCCAAAGGCGAUAACCAGCUGGGUUCAUUAUCCAAUCCUUUCCAACAUCUCGAGGAAUUGCACGUAUCUUCAUUGAAUUUCUGUAGAGUUCCCAUAUGGAUGGGUGGUCUCCAUUGCCUUCGCAUUCUCGACCUGCGUGUGGAGGAGACGUCAACUGAGGAGGUUUAUCUUCUUGUGGGGCUUCCCUCCCUUGUCAAUUUGAUUUUCAAACCGUCACACAUCCCUAAAGAAAGGGCUAUGUUGGACACAGGACUAUUCCCGGUUCUGGAGUACCUUGAAUUUUGGUCUCAGCAAGAUGUUAUGGGGUACCUGGGGUUCGAGGCAGGAGCCAUGCCCAACCUACAAUUCCUCACCGUUCACUUUAUAAAGGAGUGGGGCGGCAGUAUACCAGUCGGCAUGGAACAUCUAUCACGCCUCCAAGAGAUCCUACUGAAGGAGGCUUAUUCCGAUGAUGCCAUUGUGUCUAUGUUCAGGAAUGCCUUAUCAGCACACCGAAACCGCCCUUCCGUUGAACAUUGGUAA